GCGCUCAUCGUUCAAAGGAUAGGACAGUGGCCUUCUAAGCCUCUGAUAUAGGUUCGAAUCCUAUUGGGCGUA
rfam:Klebsormidium nitens chloroplast DNA, contig: KFL_3730.